UUGAACGCUGGCGGCAUGCCUUACACAUGCAAGUCGAACGGUAACAGGUCUUCGGAUGCUGACGAGUGGCGAACGGGUGAGUAAUACAUCGGAACGUGCCCGAUCGUGGGGGAUAACGCAGCGAAAGCUGUGCUAAUACCGCAUACGAUCUACGGAUGAAAGCGGGGGAUCGCAAGAGCCUCGCGCUAUUGGAGCGGCCGAUGUCAGAUUAGGUAGUUGGUGGGGUAAAGGCCUACCAAGCCGACGAUCUGUAGCUGGUCUGAGAGGACGACCAGCCACACUGGGACUGAGACACGGCCCAGACUCCUACGGGAGGCAGCAGUGGGGAAUUUUGGACAAUGGGCGCAAGCCUGAUCCAGCCAUGCCGCGUGCGGGAAGAAGGCCUUCGGGUUGUAAACCGCUUUUGUCAGGGAAGAAACGCUCUGGGCUAAUACCCUGGGGUAAUGACGGUACCUGAAGAAUAAGCACCGGCUAACUACGU
rnacentral:rRNA from 1 species